rnacentral:rRNA from 1 species
AUUGAACGCUGGCGGCAUGCUUUACACAUGCAAGUCGAACGGUAACAGGCCGCAAGGUGCUGACGAGUGGCGAACGGGUGCGUAAUGCAUCGGAACGUGCCCAGUCGUGGGGGAUAACUACUCGAAAGAGUAGCUAAUACCGCAUACGAUCUAUGGAUGGAAGCGGGGGACCGUAAGGCCUCGCGCGAUUGGAGCGGCCGAUGUCAGAUUAGGUAGUUGGUGGGGUAAAGGCUCACCAAGCCAACGAUCUGUAGCUGGUCUGAGAGGACGACCAGCCACACUGGGACUGAGACACGGCCCAGACUCCUACGGGAGGCAGCAGUGGGGAAUUUUGGACAAUGGGCGCAAGCCUGAUCCAGCAAUGCCGCGUGCAGGAAGAAGGCCUUCGGGUUGUAAACUGCUUUUGUACGGAACGAAACGGCUCUGGUUAAUACCCGGGGCUAAUGACGGUACCGUAAGAAUAAGCACCGGCUAACUACGUG